rnacentral:rRNA from 1 species
UACGAGGGGGGCAAAUGUUGUUCGGAAUCACUGGGCGUAAAGGGAGCGUAGGCGGGCUUCUAAGUUAGAUGUUUAAUCCCGGGGCCCAACCCCGGACAGGCACCUAAAACUGGAAGUCUUGAAUAGUGGAGAGGACGGCGGAAUUGGGGGUGUAGCGGUGGAAUGUGUAGAGAUCGGGAAGAAGGCCGGUGGCGAAGGCGGCUCUCUGGACUGGUAUUGACGCUGAGGUGCGAAAGCGUGGGGAGCAAACAGG